ACAAAAUGGUGGCACCGAUAAAAAAAUAAGACUAUAAAUGUAAAGUCAAAAUUCUGAUUUCAUAGCCUUGUCAGCGGCCAUCACAACUACAUGUUUGGGUUAAAAUUCGCUCCACAUAUAUAUUCGAGGAAUAAUUAUGGUUGGAAGCAUAAUUUGGCUACAGUAGGAAAGACUUUUGGACAGACUGAAUACGAAUCAACGAACAAACCAAUGACAGAUUAAAUCACGUUAUUGAUGUAGGGGACCCUUGUACACUGAAUACUGUUUCUUUUAAUUAUUAUGUUGAACCAUCCACCAACUCACAUAGUGAUUUAGUAAUACGAAUUAUUAUUUUCAAAGUCUAAGUAGGCAACCAAAUAUACUCUACGACAUGGAUGGUUAAUAAAUCAUUAACGUUUGACUUGACAGCAUUUCCUACACUUACGUAUCAAUUUUGAAAUUUGGCAGUAUUCAAUUGGAUUAUGUAUGGAAGAGUUUCGAGAAGAAUUCCUUGAUUUUGACGUAGAGUAUACACAGUUUCGACAAACUUUAAAUCUAUUUUUUAAAAAUCCAUGAGAAUGCAUCUGUGAAGAUCUUCAUUUGUGUCUCUCUCCUCCCAUUUUCCUCGAAGAGUGCAAUACUAUCAAUGGUUUCUAAAUACUCUAGAUCAGGAUGACUAUCUCCAAUAUCUCCAGAAUUUUUGGACCGCUUUCUAUGAUGGAAACGUAAAUGCCGCAAGAAACCAAGACCAAAUUUUAAUCCCAUUUUUUAAUCAACUAGUUGAUGAUUGAUGAUUACUUUCACCAGGAUGGUGUUACAUUUUAUGACGAUAGGAUCUCUAGUCUCAAUACACCACCGUAACUGUAGGGAGGAAUCUUAAACUAAAAUACUGUAUUACAUUUAGAAUGUUUAUUAAACUUCGUACAAUUACAAUAUGGCAACUACACAACUCUAUCUAAAUCUUAAAACCUAAUUUUAAGCACAGCCAUUCACAACCGCAAUUACUUUUGAAUACUCUUUUUGAAUUUCGCUCUCUCCAGUAAUCGAGAUCAAACCGGUGGCAGAAUCCUUAAAAAGCAAAUCUUUCUUUCCUUUGAAUGAUCCAAA